GAGGAGAGUCAGUCAUGGCAGCAGACGCCAGGACGGCUCAGCGACCGCUGCACCGGGCGCUCCUGGGCUCGGGCUGCGGAUCAGUUGAGCUGCUCUGAAUAUUUGCAUGACUUCUCCAGGUAGAUACCCAGAAAAGGAAUUGCCAGGUUGUAUGGGUCUCACUAUGUUGCCCAGACUG